rnacentral:lncRNA from 1 species
UUGACAUUACAAAUGUAUAAACCACACAAAAACACAUAAAACAAUCAAUCAAACACACAAAACAAAACAAAUAAAAAAUUUAGUGUUCAGUCCAAUUAUACAGUCCAAAAUAAAAAAAAUACAAAAAAACAAAUACUAUCUAACCUACACUAAUCCUAACUACGCUCCCGUGAUUUACCCGAUGCCUCAGGCCUUCAUUACGAACGUCUUCCACCAACAUAUUACUUCAGGACAUUCCCCGGUGAAUAAAUAUAAUGUGUCUCGGGAAAUUCUCCGGCUAAAUGAAUACAUUUGAAUUUAAUAUGAUAAACUAGAAAGAAACAUUCACACGCACAUUCCAACAUUCAACCACAACAACCACUUCUAAAAUUUGCCUACCCGAACCUAUAUUGCCUAUCCGUUUCAACAAAUCAUAAAUCUAUAACGAUUCAUAUCAACAAUAAAUCAAAAUUAAACCAGAUCUAUGCUUUUUGUCAACUUUCAAUUCUCACCCCCCAAAUUUCAUUUUAACACCACAUGAUUAACCAAUUUCGAUGAAGGAUCAACAAAUCGAUAUCAAUAAUCAUUCAUGGUGAUAAAAAAAUACAUCAACCAAAUAAAAUCCACACGUAAUGAAUUCAACAAGCAAAAAUAUCAACCAAUUAGGAAUUAAUAGAGAACGAGAUGAAAAUUGAACCUUAAUGUCGCUUUCGAUAUAUCGGAGACAACACCGCGUCCGAAAACCCCCGAUACGAACCUCAAUCACAAACUAACUUCCAACCUCGAUAGACCCAUUUCAGAUUUCUAAGCUCUAGAUCAGUUUUUCGAUGGGAUUUAACUGAAAAUAGGAAGAGAGUAAAUGUUGACGUGAUUUCGGAUCGGAAUGGAGCCGGUAGUACUAUUUUCGAUCGAGUUUCGAACUUCCGAUGAGAUUUAACUGAAAAAUGGGUUGGAUUUCAUCUUUUUUUUCUCGAUCUCUCUUGCUUGGUUCCUCUCUCGACUCUCUUUCUCUCCCUCACGAUCUCGAUCUCACUGCGUGUGUAUGUGAAUGGCAGUGGUCAGUGAUGUACGCCUAAAAGAAAAAAAUCAAGAUCGUGGUUCUUCUUUUUCAUUUUUCUUUUGCGAUUUUCUCCUCCUUCCCUCUCUCGACAAUGGAACCCGUAUGGUGUAUGUAUGUGCUGGUCAGUAUGUUGUGAAGAUCAGAAAAAGGAAAAGAUGAAGAUGGUCCCCAAAAUUCCCCCCUUUUCGUGUGUAUGAGAUGUGUAUAUCGUGAGAGCUUGAGUGUGUGCACGUAGAGGUCUGCGUGUUGAUGAGGGAAAGAAAAUGGAGUUUCCUCCUUUUGCCUAAUUCUCUCAGAUCUGUGAGAUGGUCUCUGUGUGUAUGAAUAUAAAAGAAAAGGAAGAUCAUUCUGUUGUGAGUGCUAAAAAUAAAUAUUGUUACUCCUGUGGGCCCCUUCUGUUUUUGGAAUAUAGUGUAUUGUCAAGGUUGGUGAAGAAUUGUUCGUCAAGACUAUUC